rnacentral:tRNA from 1 species
AUUUAUAUAGUUUAAAAAACAUUACACUUUCAUUGUAAAAUUAUAUAGAAUCUAUAUUAUAAAUU